rnacentral:rRNA from 1 species
GAAAAUGCAAUAGGAGUGAAGAUGCUCCUUACCUGCAGUUAGACGAAAAGACCCCGGGAGCUUCACUGCAGCUUGAUAUUGGGUUAGUAUUUUGAAUGCGUAGCGUAGACGGGAGACUUCGAAGCCUUGAUUUCGGUCAGGGUGGAGUCGCCAAUGAAACACUCAUCUUUUAAGUCCUUUGUUCUAAUCUCGAUUAAAUUCGGGAAACAGUGUUUGAUGGGCAGUUUUAGUGGGGCGCUAGCCUCCUAAAGAGUAGCGGAGGCGUUUAAAGGUCAGCUAGUUCCGGAUGGAAAUCGGGACGGUCCUGUAAAGGGUUAAGCUGGCUUUACUGCAAGAGGGAUAACUCGCGCAGUUGGGAAACCAGAACUUAGUGAACCGACUUCGGUUAGUAGAACCGGAGAAGAUCAUCAGCCAAAAGUUACCCCGGGGAUAACAGGCUAGUAGGGCCCGCGAGUCCACAUCAACGGCCCUGUUCGGCACCUCGAUGUCGGCUCAUCACAUCCUGGGGGUGGAGCAGCUCCCAAGGGUUUGGCUGUUCGCCAAUUAAAGUGGUACGUGAGCUGGGUUCAGACCGUUUAGGAGUUAAUAAAAUAAAUUGACUCUCAAACAGUCUGAAUCCGAGGGUUAAGACAUCAAAACAUGGCGGCGGCAGAGAGAAAUCUCUGCGCGUGAAGCUGACUAAUAUCGGUGAAAUCCAGAACGGACAAUACCGAGGGAAUAUUUUUUAAUAGCCCGUAGAGACUACACGUCAGCAAUCCUAAUCCAUAUUUUUUAAUGGACGGAUUAAUAUAUAGUCCGAUGCAUCUAGGAAUAGGUGACAACAUGCGUGAGACAGGUUGGUCCCUAUCUACCGCAGGCGUUGAGUUUUGAGGGGGCUCGUCUCUAGUACGAGAGGACCGAGACGAACUGACCUCUGGUCUACCAGUUGUUCCGCCAGGAGCAUUGCUGGGUAGCUAAGUCGGGAAGGGAUAAGAGCUGAAAGCAUCUAAGCUCGAAGCCUGCCCCAAGAUUAGAACUCUUAGAUUCCUCAGAGAACAUGAGGUUGAUAGGCUGUAAGUGUAAGUGCGGCAACGCAUUAAGCUGAGCAGUACUAAUAAAUCAUUAAUCAUUUCUUG